rnacentral:rRNA from 1 species
ACGAACGCUGGCGGCGUGCUUAACACCUGCAAGUCGAACGGAAAGGCCCUGCUUUUGUGGGGUGCUCGAGUGGCGAACGGGUGAGUAACACGUGAGUAACCUGCCCUUGACUUUGGGAUAACUUCAGGAAACUGGGGCUAAUACCGGAUAGGAGCUCCUGCUGCAUGGUGGGGGUUGGAAAGUUUCGGCGGUUGGGGAUGGACUCGCGGCUUAUCAGCUUGUUGGUGGGGUAGUGGCUUACCAGGGCUUUGACGGGUAGCCGGCCUGAGAGGGUGACCGGCCACAUUGGGACUGAGAUACGGCCCAGACUCCUACGGGAGGCAGCAGUGGGGAAUAUUGCACAAUGGGCGGAAGCCUGAUGCAGCAACGCCGCGUGCGGGAUGACGGCCUUCGGGUUGUAAACCGCUUUCGCCUGUGACGAAGCGUGAGUGACGGUAAUGGGUAAAGAAGCACCGGCUAACUACGUG